GUUCACGUAGCUCAGUGGCAGAGCGCCGACCUGACUCGUCGGAUGUCGGAGGUUCAAAUCCUCUCGUGAACAC
rnacentral:tRNA from 1 species